CUAUGUUACGACUUAUCUUACCUUAAUAAUAAGAGCGACGGGCGAUGUGUACAUAUUUUAGAGCUAAAAUCAAAUUUUUAAUCUUUAAAAUUUUACUAUCAAAUCCAAUUUCAUUAAACAUUUCAAAUUUAAAUUCAUCUAAAUAAUUUUAUUGUAACCCAUCUCUAACUUAAACAUAAGCUACACCUUGAUCUGAUAUAAAUUUUAAUAAAAAUUAAAGAAAAUUAUUAUUCUAAUAAAAUAUUCUGAUAACGACGGUAUAUAAACUGAAACAAAUUUAAGUAAGGUUCAUCGUGGAUUAUCAAUUACAGGACAGGUUCCUCUGAAUAGACUAAAAUACCGCCAAAUUUUUUAAGUUUCAAGAACAUAACUAAUACUACCUUAGUGUUAUUAAUUUACAUUUUAGAUAAUAGGGUAUCUAAUCCUAGUUUA
rnacentral:rRNA from 1 species